AUUGAACGCUGGCGGCAGGCCUAACACAUGCAAGUCGAACGGUAACAGGAAGAAGCUUGCUUCUUUGCUGACGAGUGGCGGACGGGUGAGUAAUGUCUGGGAAACUGCCUGAUGGAGGGGGAUAACUACUGGAAACGGUAGCUAAUACCGCAUAACGUCGCAAGACCAAAAAGGGGGACCUUCGGGCCUCUUGCCAUCGGAUGUGCCCAGAUGGGAUUAGCUAGUAGGUAGGGUAACGGCUCACCUAGGCGACGAUCCCUAGCUGGUCUGAGAGGAUGACCAGCCACACUGGAAAUGAGACACGGUCCAGACGCCUACGGGAGGCAGCAGUGGGGAAUAUUGCACAAUGGGCGCAAGCCUGAUGCAGCCAUGCCGCGUGGAUGAAGAAGGCCUUCGGGUUGUAAAGUACUUUCAGCGGGGAGGAAGGGAGUAAAGUUAAUACCUUUGCUCAUUGACGUUACCCGCAGAAGAAGCACCGGCUAACUCCGUG
rnacentral:rRNA from 1 species